AGAGUUUGAUCAUGGCUCAGAUUGAACGCUGGCGGCAGGCCUAACACAUGCAAGUCGAACGGUAACAGGAAGUGCUUGCACUUCGCUGACGAGUGGCGGACGGGUGAGUAAUGCUUGGGAACUUGCCUUUGCGAGGGGGAUAACAGUUGGAAACGACUGCUAAUACCGCAUAAUGUUUACGGACCAAAGGGGGCUUAGGCUCUCGCGCAAAGAGAGGCCCAAGUGAGAUUAGCUAGUUGGUGAGGUAAAGGCUCACCAAGGCGACGAUCUCUAGCUGUUCUGAGAGGAAGAUCAGCCACACUGGGACUGAGACACGGCCCAGACUCCUACGGGAGGCAGCAGUGGGGAAUAUUGCACAAUGGGGGGAACCCUGAUGCAGCCAUGCCGCGUGUGUGAAGAAGGCCUUCGGGUUGUAAAGCACUUUCAGUUGUGAGGAAAGGUUGGUAGUUAAUACCUGCCAGCUGUGACGUUAACAACAGAAGAAGCACCGGCUAACUCCGUGCCAGCAGCCGCGGUAAUACGGAGGGUGCGAGCGUUAAUCGGAAUUACUGGGCGUAAAGCGCACGCAGGCGGUCUGUUAAGCUAGAUGUGA
rnacentral:rRNA from 1 species